rnacentral:rRNA from 1 species
UACGUAGGGGGCAAGCGUUGUCCGGAAUUAUUGGGCGUAAAGCGCGUGUAGGCGGCCAGAAAAGUCCGCUGUGAAAACUCGAGGCUCAACCUCGAGCUGUCGGUGGAAACUGUGUGGCUAGAGUCCGGAAGAGGAGAGUGGAAUUCCCGGUGUAGCGGUGAAAUGCGCAGAUAUCGGGAGGAACACCAGUAGCGAAGGCGGCUCGCUGGGCCAUUCCUGACGCUGAGACGCGAAAGCUAGGGGAGCAAACAGG